CAGCAGCCGCGGUAAUACGAAGGGUGCAAGCGUUAAUCGGAAUUACUGGGCGUAAAGCGUGCGUAGGCGGUUUGUUAAGUCUGCUGUGAAAUCCCCGGGCUCAACCUGGGAAUGGCAGUGGAUACUGGCAAGCUAGAGUGUGUCAGAGGAUGGUGGAAUUCCCGGUGUAGCGGUGAAAUGCGUAGAGAUCGGGAGGAACAUCAGUGGCGAAGGCGGCCAUCUGGGACAACACUGACGCUGAGGCACGAAAGCGUGGGGAGCAAACAGGAUUAGAGACCCCGGUAGUCCCUGUCUCUUAUAC
rnacentral:rRNA from 1 species